rnacentral:rRNA from 1 species
CCUACGGGGGGCUGCAGUGGGGAAUAUUGGACAAUGGGGGGAACCCUGAUCCAGCCAUGCCGCGUGUGUGAAGAAGGCCCUCGGGUUGUAAAGCACUUUCAGUGAUGAAGAACGCCUGGUGGUUAAUACCCAUCAGGAAAGACAUCACUCACAGAAGAAGCACCGGCUAACUCCGUGCCAGCAGCCGCGGUAAUACGGAGGGUGCGAGCGUUAAUCGGAAUUACUGGGCGUAAAGCGCGCGUAGGUGGCUUGAUAAGCCGGUUGUGAAAGCCCCGGGCUCAACCUGGGAACGGCAUCCGGAACUGUCAAGCUAGAGUGCAGGAGAGGAAGGUAGAAUUCCCGGUGUAGCGGUGAAAUGCGUAGAGAUCGGGAGGAAUACCAGUGGCGAAGGCGGCCUUCUGGACUGACACUGACACUGAGGUGCGAGAGCGUGGGUAGCAAACAGGAUUAGAUACCCCAGUAGUC